UAUGUAAAUUAGUGCGCGGUUCAGGGUUUGGGCGACUGUUAGUUGUCAGCUACGUAAGUGGUUUAUGGUAAUGUAAUGUAAUGCCUUCUGUUUUAAUUCCCCAUCGUCACCCCCGCCAGAAAAUAAAGCGCCCGCUAAUGUAGGUCGAGGAAAUGGAUCCUCAUGAUAGGAGGGGAUCUGGGUCGAGCUGGUCCGUGGAAACCCUAGGGCUGCGUUUGCGUAACUAAUUUUUGGGCUUAUAUUCAAAAAAUUGGCAGCCAUUUGUUGUAUCCCUGGAACAAGAAGCAGAAGGAGGAAUAGACAGCGACCAAUCAUCACUGGCUCCGUAUAAUUAUUCUCAGAGAAAGAGCGGCGGGCGGGGGCCGAAGGGAGCGGUGUGGGAGAGAUGGGAAUGAUAUCGCUGGAUGGUGUUCGGGACAAGAACGUGAUGCAGCUUAAGAAGCUCAACACCGCUCUCUUCCCCGUUCGCUACAACGAUAAGUACUACGCCGACGCCCUCUCCUCCGGCGAGUUCACCAAGCUCGCUUAUUACAAUGACAUUUGUGUUGGUUCAAUUGCAUGUCGCCUUGAGAAAAAGGAAGGAGGGGCCAUCCGUGUUUACAUUAUGACACUGGGAGUUUUGGCACCAUACCGUGGGCUGGGAAUCGGUACAAAAUUGUUAACUCAUGUACUGGAUCUUUGUGCCAAGCAGAACAUAUCUGAGAUCUACUUGCAUGUGCAAACAAACAAUGAUGAUGCAAUUGCCUUCUAUAACAAGUUUGAGUUUGAAAUCACAGAUACGAUACAGAAUUAUUAUACCAACAUCACUCCAUCUGAUUGCCAUGUUCUUAGUCAGGUUAUUGCUCAAAAUCAUCGAAAGAAAUGAGUGUCCUCUCGUGUUUGUUUUGUAAAAGACUCACAUGGUCAAGAGGCCUAACAAUUUGGCUUUGAGGAUCAGGCAGCCAUUGAGGUGCUAGUCCUUUAUAUCAAGUUGCUUUUACUAUUUCCAAGCAUUUCUGCUUGGGGCUACCGUCAUUCUGAUGAGGCAGAUGGUAGUUUUUGAGAUACCUUUUGAAUGUGUUCAUUGCAACAACCAUUUCCAUCUAGGCGAGGCUCAUAUUGAUGUGAGCGGUGCUAAUGUAUAUGGUACCAUAUAUUUUUGUUUAUCAAAAUUGUAUUCUGAGCCUCCAUAUUUUCGACUAUUUUAGGCUCCGAUCAGAUGCCUCGCAGAGGCCCAUAAGGGAUACGUAAUGGUUAAAUCGAUGGUUACAUCUAUU